AGUCGAGCGAACUGAUUAGAAGCUUGCUUCUAUGACGUUAGCGGCGGACGGGUGAGUAACACGUGGGCAACCUGCCUGUAAGACUGGGAUAACUUCGGGAAACCGAAGCUAAUACCGGAUAGGAUCUUCUCCUUCAUGGGAGAUGAUUGAAAGAUGGUUUCGGCUAUCACUUACAGAUGGGCCCGCGGUGCAUUAGCUAGUUGGUGAGGUAACGGCUCACCAAGGCAACGAUGCAUAGCCGACCUGAGAGGGUGAUCGGCCACACUGGGACUGAGACACGGCCCAGACUCCUACGGGAGGCAGCAGUAGGGAAUCUUCCGCAAUGGACGAAAGUCUGACGGAGCAACGCCGCGUGAGUGAUGAAGGCUUUCGGGUCGUAAAACUCUGUUGUUAGGGAAGAACAAGUACAAGAGUAACUGCUUGUACCUUGACGGUACCUAACCAGAAAGCCACGGCUAACUACGUGCCAGCAGCCGCGGUAAUACGUAGGUGGCAAGCGUUAUCCGGAAUUAUUGGGCGUAA
rnacentral:rRNA from 1 species